rnacentral:tRNA from 1 species
GCCCAGGUGUCGGAACUGGUAGACGAACGCGAUUCAAAAUCGCGCGGCCGAGAGGCCAUGCGGGUUCGAUUCCCGCUCUGGGCACCA